rnacentral:rRNA from 1 species
UACGUAGGGUGCAAGCGUUAAUCGGAAUUACUGGGCGUAAAGCGUACGCAGGCGGCUAUGUAAGACAGGUGUGAAAUCCCCGGGCCUAACCUGGGAACUGCAUUUGUGACUGCAUAGCUAGAGUCCGUCAGAGGGGGGUGGAAUUCCCUGUGUAGCGGUGAAAUGCGUAGAGAUGGGGGAGAACACUCGUGGCGAAGGCGGCCAGCUGGUCCAGUUCUGACGCUCAGUCCCGACAGCGUGGGGAGCAAACAGG